rnacentral:misc_RNA from 1 species
CUAUGCUGCACAGCUUGGACGAAGGUGUCUAUCAUCCUAUUACGCGUGAGUUCACUGGAAUAGGUGCGCAAGAAGGUUCAACGCAUCACACUCAAGUUGGCCGCUCUGCCUCCUCUCAUUCGAUUUCUUUCCGCCAUUUUAUUCCGGGUUUUGCUGACGUUCACUUGCCGCACACCGACCUGUGGACGCACACGCACACACGAACACAUAUACACACACGCUCUCACGCCUAAACCCGCAAAAUGGCCAGCGAAGACAUCAUUAUCUUCCUCGACGCUCUCGAGAACACCGUCAACUCGAUUCGCGGUGACGGGUCGGCGAAGAAGACGCUCUUCACCACCGGCUGCGUAUGCCCGGACGGUGUCGGACUCGAUCUCAGCGCGUACAAGGAUUCGAAGAACCCUGAUGACAUUGUUGCGUGGUGGGGCAACAUGGGGGCUAUGAAGCCGUGCCCGGGGCAGAAAGACGGGGCAGACUGGCACGAUGCUGACGGCUUCCUUGUGCGUGCCCCGCUCUUUGGCGGCGAUGCGGCAGUGAAGCGGGUGGAGAUGACGGCGCCACGGAGCCUCAUCCGUGGCACGGCGGCGUUCCAGGCCCCAGGCUACCCUCCACUCGUCACCACCGUGAAGCAGGUGGCGCUCUCCAGAAACGGACGCGCCGUCUUCUUCUGCGACCGGGAAGGGCACGGUGUGAAGAAGUAUAACGUGGACACGAAGGAGGUGGUGCCGCUCUUGUCCUCGGACGUGCUGGCGGCCCUCGCCGACGGACUCACGGAGGAGGAGGCUCGUGCCUCACUUGUGGAGCCGAACAGCGACGAAGACAAGUGCCGCUUCUGCGUCGGUAUUACGCUGGACGAGAAGCACAACCAGAUCUUCUUUACCCUGAAGGGGCCGUCCAAGGGUGGCAAGGGCCGCAUUCUCGCGGCCCCGUACUACUUCCAGCGCCGUCACCUAGCAUCCAUCACAGCCGCGAACACGUCCACUUCUGAAGGCGUGAUCGACCCGAAGACGGUUGUGACGCUGCUCGACCACCUGCCGGAGCCCAUCGAUCUGCUUCUGGACUCGGAGGAAAACUAUCUGUACUGGACAGACCGCGGUGAUGACGCGGCGGGCGGCAACUCACUGAACCGUGCUCCCGUCACCUAUGACCCCUGUUCCGGGCAACCGCAGCUUGGGGAGAGGGAGCUGCUGAUCCGCGGCUUCAACGAGGCGAUCGGACUGGCGUGGGCGGCAAACCUUGUGGAUUGCAUGCGACUGCCCGAGAACAAGGAAACCCUGCGCCAGUACAUGUACGUCACGGACAUGAGACACCUCUGGCGCUGCGAUUUGAAGGCGAGAACGAAGGAGGUGGUCUACAAGUGCGGCCCCCGCAACGUGCUGACCGGCGUUGAGGUGCUGCGUUUCUUUUGAGAGGCGACGAGGAGGAGGGACUCUGAGCGACGGCGUGCAGAGUGGGAGGUGCAGGGAAAAGACCACUCUCCGCGCUUAAGCGUCAGCAAGAUUUCUCUUUAGUGUCUCGGCAGUUUCCAGGCUCGUAGUCCUCUACGUAGGAUUGAUCUGCCUGUGUCAAGCCUAUUGGCAGCUUCUUGACAUAUGAAGGGCUCCUCUUUCCGUUUUUCUACGGACGCCUCCCUCCCACCUCUUUCCUCUGUACAUGCCGACCGUUGCGCUGUCAGCGAUGCUGCUGCCGGAGCCCAACUGAAUCAUGCAGCAGGUGAUCCACCUCCCCCUCAUUACCGUGACGCAACAGUCUUCAUAUAUCGCACUGCAUGUUUAUCCUAUGAAUACCGUGUGCACGUGUGUAUGUAUGUAUGUGUGUGUUGGCUGGUUGCAGCGGCGCCAGGUAGUGGAGUCGUGCACAGAGGGGCGGAGCUUUUGUCGCAGCUGGCCAGCACAUAUUCCAUCAGGAGCGCCUGCUCUUCCUCUAGCCUCUUUCUUCUCAGCGUGUCCGGUCUCUUCCACACAGCAUGAGGUCCCGUUCCACUCUCGAGCCUCCGACCCUGCCCUGCCACAGGCCACCCGUCGCGUGGCGCGAAGCAGCCGUAGACACACGCCGGCGCGGCACUGCGCCAACUCGGGCAUCGCAGCACGGCCUCUGCCUCGAGCCCUCCCCACCCACCCGCCUUGCAGUGCCGCCUCACAGCCGCUCCCCAUUUGUGCCGGUGGCCGCGUGGUGCAUCUCCCGCGGUGGCGCAGGCUCCCUCCACCGGUGGGCGGCGAGGGCGGGGCGGGAUGUGCUCGAGUCGCGCUGGCGCCUCGUCGAUCGUAUGGAUGGUGCAGGCGUGCUCGCGGUCUCGGGUCGCUCCGACGCCACGCCGUCGAGGGUGUGGCCGUCGGCAUCGGUGGCGAUGAGGCGCCCUGACUUCGCCACGUCGCAGGCGCUCGGCCCUGUGACCGCCGGAAGUGGCUCUGGCACUUGGCAGGGACAGAGGGACCGCCUGGCUUCCUCACACAGUGGGGGUGCUGGACCCUGAGAUGCCACGCACGGAGGUCUCCCCAGCUAUCAGGGUAUGAGGGUGGUUGGGGAUGAAAAGAAAAACAAUGCGCUUCCACUCCUCUUUCGCCGCUGCGGUCCCCCCUGCCGCUGUUCUUCGCAGAGCUGCCAACCACUUGUGCCAGCUACAAGCUAGUAGGCGCAAUCCU